rnacentral:lncRNA from 1 species
ACAGUAGAAAAGUGGUAUUCUCAUCUUUGUAACUGAUUAGUCCUGUUGCAAAACACUAAUGAGCUCUUUCUUUCUUUCUGUCUCUUUUCUCUCUCCCUGUCUCUUGGAAAGAGAUUAAAAGAUCAGGAACUUGAGUAAAGCACAAGUUUAAGAAAGAGGAAUCUCCCCUCCAGCAUAUCUCUUUGCUUGGUGCAUAAAGGUGUGGUGCGACAAGGCGCAGCCCGGUAGCUGAUGGGCUCAAGAGGUCCUUCGAGGGGUUAAAUCUUGUAUUUGCACCUCAUGGUCAAGGGUUUGGGUCAGAGAUAGCUGUCUGGGUUUUAACUGCACUGGGACUGACAGAGGGACCAUACAUAUAUCCCAGAUCUGCUUGUGCAGAGACUCUACAGAAGAACUUGUGGAACUAAGUACCUAAAGUCAGUCAAGGCUUAGUCUUUUCUACUUUCUCUUUUUCUUCUCGAGUUGUAAAACAUUGAAAUGGUUGCAAAACAUAUCACAAGCAGAAUGCAAAGCACACCUUCUAAACUCCAAGUCAUUAUGUGAAAUUUUUCAGUGACGCUACUCGGAAAUUCAGACGUAGCUAUGGUGGAAAGUAGAAAUGCAUAUGCCCGUGCCGGUGAAAUUGCAUAUACCCGUUCAGGACGGACAGGUGCCUUUUGAUAUUGGCUGCGAAGUCCUGUCAUGGUCAUUCCAGCAAGUCUUCUUAGGUGAUCUGUCACAUCAACCAGUCUAAAAAGAUAAAAACCCAAACCACCACCAACAAAAAAACACGAUUUCCUUAGUAUCCAGAUUAAAAAGGAGCAGACAAAACACGACGCGUGCAGUUGAGAAGCGGGGGAGGAUCCCGAAGAAGCAAGCUGUCCGGCUGGCCGUGCCCCACGGUUGCGGUGCAGUCACGCCAUAAGGAAACGAAAUAUUCCCCUCGAGCUGUUGAAAGCCUGCCCUCGCCAGGGUUACCGAGAGGCGGCUCUCGGCGUCCGCACGAAGCCCACCGAUCCCUCCAGCCCCGGCAAUCCGCGGGGAGAGGAAGGUGGGCGGCAGAGCCGAGCCUCCCCGCUCCGCAGCCCUUCAUUAUCGGAAUCAUUUUAACAUCCUUGUUUAUAAACAAGAGGCGU